rnacentral:rRNA from 1 species
CCUACGGGUGGCAGCAGUGGGGAAUAUUGGACAAUGGGGGGAACCCUGAUCCAGCCAUGCCGCGUGUGUGAAGAAGGCCCUCGGGUUGUAAAGCACUUUCAGUGAGGAAGAACGCCUGGUGGUUAAUACCCAUCAGGAAAGACAUCACUCACAGAAGAAGCACCGGCUAACUCCGUGCCAGCAGCCGCGGUAAUACGGAGGGUGCGAGUGUUAAUCGGAAUUACUGGGCGUAAAGCGCGCGUAGGUGGCUUGAUAAGCCGGUUGUGAAAGCCCCGGGCUCAACCUGGGAACGGCAUCCGGAACUGUCAAGCUAGAGUGCAGGAGAGGAAGGUAGAAUUCCAGGUGGAGCGGUGAAAUGCGUAGAGAUCGGGAGGAAUACCAGUGGCGAAGGCGGCCUUCUGGACUGACACUGACACUGAGGUGCGAAAGCGUGGGUAGCAAACAGGAUUAGAUACCCUUGUAGUC